AAAUCCCCAACCAUAGUGGGCUUGGAGCUGUGAGGGAAUUCGGAGUGGCCACCAGUUCUGAAAGUUUGAUUUUCCUCUGGUAUCAGCGAGGAGAUCUCGGUGACGAGCGCGCUAGCGUUAAUUCAUGCGUUGAUUACGGCGUGAUACGAGGCCGGAGUCACGGCACCAAUGAAGCCCACUGAAACGGCGCGAGACGAAAGGGCACGAUGCUUGGGAUGGUUGCGGCGCCUAGGGUUUCUGAAACCCUAGGCCUCUCUGUCUUCCAUUAACAAAUUGGGCCAUUUGGGCCCUGGAUGUUUUGGGUUAAGACUGUACACGGGUAUUGGGUUAAACCGGGGUAUAGGCUAUCGGGUUUAGACCAAUUGGGUCACAAGUGUAACGGGUUUGGGGCUUAUGAGACCUUGAUGCCUGUUUAUUGUAAAUGGACUGUAAAUGAACUUUUAUUUUUAA